AUGGAGUCACAAACUCAAGUUCUCAUGUCCCUGCUGCUCUGGGUGUCUGGUAUCUGUGGUGACAUCGUGAUGACCCAGUCUCCAUCCUCCCUGGCUGUGUCAGCAGGAGAGAAGGUCACCAUCAGCUGCAAGUCCAGUCAGAGUCUGUUUGGCAAAAACAGCAAGAACUACUUGAAUUGGUACCAGCAGAAACCAGGGCAGGCUCCUAAACUGCUGAUCUACUUGGCAUCCACUCGGUACACUGGAGUCCCUGAUCGCUUCAUAGGCAGUGGAUCUGAGACAGAUUACACUCUCACCAUCAGCAGUGUCCAGCCUGAAGAUCUGGCAGAUUACUUCUGUCAGCAACAAUACAGUAAACCUCCCACAGUGUGUCAGCCUCCAACCAAAACCUCCCCUCAAAGUCUCAGCAGCUGCCUGCACCACACACAGCCCUGGACCUGUGCACUUCCCCCUUCUGCCUGA